rnacentral:tRNA from 1 species
GCAUGCGUGGCCGAGCAGCAAAAGCACUUGACUGUAAAUCAAGCGCCCCCGGAGGGGCUUCGUAGGUGCGAGUCCUACCGCAUGCG